CAUGCAGUCGAGGGGCAGCAGCUUUGUAGCAAUACAGAGGCUGGCGACCGGCACACNUNGUGCGGAACACGUACACAACCUUCCUUCGAGCGGGGAAUAGCCCAGAGAAAUUUGGAUUAAUACCCCAUAGUAUAUUGAAAAAGCAUUUUUUUAAUAUUAAAGAUUUAUCACUUGAAGAUGGGUGUGCGGCUGAUUAGGUAGUUGGCGGGGUAACGGCCCACCAAGCCGACGAUCAGUAACUGGUGUGAGAGCACGACCAGUCACACGGGCACUGAGACACGGGCCCGACUCCUACGGGAGGCAGCAGUAAGAAAUAUUGGUCAAUGGACGCAAGUCUGAACCAGCCAUGCCGCGUGGAGGAUGAAGGUCCUCUGGAUUGUAAACUUCUUUUAUAUGGGACGAAAAAGGGUCUUUCCAGAUCAACUGACGGUACCAUAUGAAUAAGCACCGGCUAACUCCGUGCCAGCAGCCGCGGUAAUACGGAGGGUGCAAGCGUUAUCCGGAUUCACUGGGUUUAAAGGGUGCGUAGGUGGGUUGGUAAGUCAGUGGUGAAAUCCCCGAGCUUAACUUGGGAACUGCCAUUGAUACUAUCAGUCUUGAAUACCGUGGAGGUCAGCGGAAUAUGUCAUGUUAGCGGUGAAAUGCUUAGAUAUGACAUAGAACACCAAUUUGCNGAAAGGCAGCUNGCUACUCGGGAUAUUUGACACUGAGGCACGAAAGCGUGGGG
rnacentral:rRNA from 1 species